GACGAACGCUGGCGGCGUGCUUAACACAUGCACGUCGAACGGAAAGGCCCUGCUUUUGUGGGGUGCUCGAGUGGCGAACGGGUGAGUAACACGUGAGUAACCUGCCCUUGACUUUGGGAUAACUUCAGGAAACUGGGGCUAAUACCGGAUAGGAGCUCCUGCCGCAUGGUGGGGGUUGGAAAGUUUCGGCGGUUGGGGAUGGACUCGCGGCUUAUCAGCUUGUUGGUGGGGUAGUGGCUUACCAAGGCUUUGACGGGUAGCCGGCCUGAGAGGGUGACCGGCCACAUUGGGACUGAGAUACGGCCCAGACUCCUACGGGAGGCAGCAGUGGGGAAUAUUGCACAAUGGGCGGAAGCCUGAUGCAGCAACGCCGCGUGCGGGAUGACGGCCUUCGGGUUGUAAACCGCUUUCGCCUGUGACGAAGCGUGAGUGACGGUAAUGGGUAAAGAAGCACCGGCUAACUACGUG
rnacentral:rRNA from 1 species